rnacentral:rRNA from 1 species
AUUGAACGCUGGCGGCAGGCCUAACACAUGCAAGUCGAACGAGUGGCGGACGGGUGAGUAAUGUCUGGGAAACUGCCUGAUGGAGGGGGAUAACUACUGGAAACGGUAGCUAAUACCGCAUACCAUCGGAUGUGCCCAGAUGGGAUUAGCUAGUAGGUGGGGUAAAGGCUCACCUAGGCGACGAUCCCUAGCUGGUCUGAGAGGAUGACCAGCCACACUGGAACGGGGACACGGUCCAGACUCCUACGGGAGGCAGCAGUGGGGAAUAUGGCACAAUGGGCGCAAGCCGGAUGCAGCCAUGCCGCGUGUAUGAAGAAGGCCUUCGGGUUGGAAAGUACUUUCAGCGGGGAGGCGUUACCCGCAGAAGAAGCAACGGCUAAAUCCGUGCCAGCAGCCGCGGUAAUUC